UACGUAGGAUCCAAGCGUUAUCCGGAAUUACUGGGCGUAAAGAGUUGCGUAGGUGGCAUUGUAAGCAAGACAUGAAAUCGUGUGGCUCAACCAUACGGCUAUGUCUUGAACUGCAAAGCUAGAGAGCGAGAGGGGUAGAUGGAAUUACUAGUGUAGGAGUGAAAUCCGUAGAUAUUAGUAGGAACACCGAUAGCGUAGGCAGUCUACUGGCUCGUUUCUGACACUGAGGCACGAAAGCGUGGGGAGCAAAUGGG
rnacentral:rRNA from 1 species